rnacentral:rRNA from 1 species
UACAGAGGAGCCAAGCGUUGUCCGGAUUGACUGGGCGUAAAGCGCACGCAGGCGGCACCGCGCGUGGGGUGUGAAAUCUGGCCGCUUAACGGCCAGGCGCCAUCCCAUACGGCGGAGCUGGAGUGAUGCAGAGGUCGGUGGAAUUGCCGGUGUAGUGGUGAAAUGCGUAGAGAUCCGGAGGAACACCGCAGGCGAAGGCAGUGUCCUGGCGCGUACCUGACGCUGAGGUGCGAAAGCUAGGGGAGCGAACGGG